rnacentral:misc_RNA from 1 species
CCUGCCUAGCAGAGCGACCCGAGAACUCGUUUCGAAACCGAAAGGCCGUCCCGGAGAGGGCACGGCGGCCCGGCCUCGGCCGGAUCCCGACGUCCCCCGACGGGGCGAGCCGACAACAACCCCCGGCGCGAGCCGCGCCAAGGAAAACGCAAAAGAGGGCGGGGCUCCCGGGCCUCCGGAGACGGAGCGCGCCUCGGGAGAUCCCGUCCUCCUCGUGAAAGUCGAAAUAAAAACGACUCUCGACAACGGAUAUCUCGGCUCUCGCAUCGAUGAAGAACGUAGCGAAANGCGAUACUNGGNGUGAAUUGCAGAAUCCCGUGAACCAUCGAGUCUUUGAACGCAAGUUGCGCCCCAAGCCGUCAGGCCGAGGGCACGUCUGCCUGGGNGUCACACAUCGUCGCCCCAAACACCCACGCCUCCAGGGGCGUGGCGGGCGGA